UUACUACUCCCUCCGUCCGAAAAUACUUGUCCUGAGGAUGAAUGUACCUAGACCUAAUUUAGUUUUAUGUACAUUCAUUAUAUCCAUUUCUAGAUCAAGUAUUUUUGGACGGAGGGAGUAUUCA
rnacentral:pre_miRNA from 1 species